AGAAGCCAUUAGGGCCAUGCACUUAUGUACUGAGAAGUGAGCAGUGAGCUAGAUGCCACAAAACGCUGCAGCAGCAGGUGAGACUGAGGAGCAGGGAGGGGGGUCAAGGAUAAUUUCUCAGCUUCUGGCCUAUGAAUUUAUAGGGUGGUGGGACCAUCCUCUGGAUAGGGAACGCCAGAGAAGAGCCUGGAAGUAUGUAGUAGGGAGGUCAGAAGUCCUAAGCUCAUUUUGCAUGUGUUAGGUAGGUUUUGAAGUGCAUUUGAGGCAUUCACGUGGAGAUGCCAGGGGAGCAGGUGAAUGAUGGUGCCCAGAUCCAGGCAGAGAUAAAGGCAACUACAGCCAGG
rnacentral:lncRNA from 1 species